rnacentral:rRNA from 1 species
GAUGAACGCUGACAGAAUGCUUAACACAUGCAAGUCUUUGGUGAAGCUGUGCUUGCACAGCCUAGCCAAGGCGGACGGGUGAGUAACGCGUAAGGAACUUGCCCUGCAGUCAGGGAUAACAGACGGAAACGACUGAUAAGACCUGGUAAAGUCAGGCGGACUCAUGUCCAGCCUGAUGAAAAGAGAUGCUGCAGGAGAGCCUUGCGUCCUAUUAGCUUGUUGGUGGGGUAACGGCCCACCAAGGCAAUGAUAGGUAGCCGGCCUGAGAGGGUGGACGGCCACAAGGGGACUGAGAUACGGCCCUUACUCCUACGGGAGGCAGCAGUGGGGAAUAUUGGACAAUGGGGGCAACCCUGAUCCAGCAAUUCUGUGUGCAAGAUGAAGGUUUUCGGAUUGUAAAGUGCUUUCAGCAGGGAAGAAAAAAAUGACGGUACCUGCAGAAGAAGCGACGGCUAAAUACGUG